rnacentral:rRNA from 1 species
AAACCAACUGGGAUUACCUUAGUAACGGCGAGUGAAGCGGUAAAAGCUCAAAUUUGAAAUCUGGUACUUUCAGUGCCCGAGUUGUAAUUUGUAGAAUUUGUCUUUGAUUAGGUCCUUGUCUAUGUUCCUUGGAACAGGACGUCAUAGAGGGUGAGAAUCCCGUUUGGCGAGGAUACCUUUUCUCUGUAAGACUUUUUCGAAGAGUCGAGUUGUUUGGGAAUGCAGCUCAAAGUGGGUGGUAAAUUCCAUCUAAAGCUAAAUAUUGGCGAGAGACCGAUAGCGAACAAGUACAGUGAUGGAAAGAUGAAAAGAACUUUGAAAAGAGAGUGAAAAAGUACGUGAAAUUGUUGAAAGGGAAGGGCAUUUGAUCAGACAUGGUGUUUUUGCAUGCACUCGCCUCUCGUGGGCUUGGGCCUCUCAAAAAUUUCACUGGGCCAACAUCAAUUCUGGCAGCAGGAUAAAUCAUUAAGAAUGUAGCUACUUCGGUAGUGUUAUAGCUUUUUGGAAUACUGUUAGCCGGGAUU